CGAGCCAUUAGCUCAGUUGGUAGAGCAUCUGACUUUUAAUCAGAGGGUCGAAGGU
rnacentral:tRNA from 1 species